GCCAACCUGACAGUGGGAUGCUUUCAAUACCUGAGUCUAUAUACCGGUCAGACUAACUUAGUGUCAUUUUCGUUCGGACGAAACACCGUUAUCUAAAAUCAUUUGUACGCAAAGUAAAGUAUGGCUAGUAAUUGGUGUCAUUGUAACGUUUAUUGUGACCUUUCUGUGACGCGUCAUUAGCUUAUCAUGAUGUACUUGCGCGCUGAGCCUUUAUUUCAUAUAUUUUUUUUACAAGCCUUAAUUAUAAGUGUAACGCUCUUCGUCAGCGAAAUGGACGUACUAUACUCAGGAUACAAUCGACGACACAUCAGGAGUUUAUUUUUCGGGACUGCCCGUGUUAUAUGGAUUAGGUGACCGAAGAUCCUCCUGGUUUCACGUGUCGAGCUUCAGUGGCUAGAGGGCACAAAACGACGACAAUUUUUAUUUUUGUCUUGAUGAUGGCUGAGCGCUUGGAAACGUAUUAAAGGUGAACGUACCAAAUGGCAACCACACAGAAACUCAAUGAAAGCAGAAGUCCGUUGAUCCGUUUACAAUGGGUAUACAACCAGCUGGAAGGCGAACCCUCCACAAAGAACCCGCAGAACGUGAUUUUAUUCGAGCAAUAAGAACGUAGGCCUUUUCUGUCGUUCAGUGAGAGAGGAGGUUAACCAUGAACAGUGUAAAUCAACGGCGGGGCCCCGUUGUGCGCGCCUGUAUGUGCAUUAAAAGGUCGCCAAGCUGAACGGAAUAUCAACAACAAAAGUUACCCUACUCGUUCGGAUUUGAUCAAGCGACCCUUCAAAGGAGGACAAAACAAAAAAAAAAAACACUCAUUGAUAAUACCAGGAAACAGGACUGAGUCGGCGCAGGCACGGGUAUGCUUACAAUGGAAGGAUGCAUUUUCGUCACAUUUUUCACCUUUGGAUAGAAUACCUAUGGCCAGAUUACGCAUCAUACGUCAUCAGCGACAUAAAUAAUUUCAAAUGCGGUCUUUUCGGCAACCAGGAAGUUAUCGGAUCGAUGAGGUCUCUUGCAGUCCAUGUUACCCCUCGUCGUUAGUAGUGUUCGCCAACGAAUCUUCUGAUGACGAACGCAUCUAUCAAAAACUAAACUUCUCAGCGUAUUAUUUAUGUACGACUUUGUUAUAGCUUGCAAAAUGGCACAGUUGUUGUAAACCGUAUAUUGUAUAUAUAUAUAUACAUAGUGUUUAUGAGUACAUGAUUUCAUUAUGGCGGGUUCAGUUCUCCGUCCUAAGUUAAGUGUGACAUAAAGUGAAAACGAAUAAAUUGA